AUGCCCACCCAGCUCCGGCUUCUCCGGCGAGGCUACCGAGCCGCCGCCGCCGCCACCGUCGCGGCGUCCAAGGCAGGGGCGAAGAGGAAGGUUCUUGAUGGAACCCCGGCGGCGCUCGGCUUCCGGAUGCCGGCUGAGUGGGAGCCGCACGACCAGUGCUGGAUUGGGUGGCCGGAUGCUCAAGGAUUUUGGAGAGAUGCGGCUGCCCCUGCUCAAAAAGCCUUUGCAAAUGUUGUAGAUGUAAUCUCAAGGUUUGAGCCUGUCACUGUAUGCUGUAACGCUGCCCAGUACGCGAGGGUAGCCCAUUUGAUGGAACAUAAAUCCAACGUUAGAGUGGUAGAGAUGAGCGCCUAUCUUGUUUGGUUGCGUGAUUUGGGCCCCAGUUUUGUUGUGCGUGAAGGCGACGCAAGAUCGAGGAGAGAAAUUGCAGGGGUGGAUUGGCAGUACAAUGCAUAUGGAGGUUAUAAUGAUUUAUUUGGGCCAGAAGAUCAUCAGCUCAAUAGGAGAAAAGGACAUGAAGAACAUAUAACUCAAGACAACCUUGUUGCCAGGAAGGUUUUGGAAUUGGAGAGGAUUCCUAGGUUUGAAACCAAUUUUGUUCUUGAAGGUGGAAGCAUUCAUGUCGACGGAGAAGGAACAUGUAUCACCACUGAGCAGUGUUUAUGCCAUGGAAACAGAAAUCCCCAUAUGAGUAAGGAUGAGAUAGAGAACCAGCUGAAGACUCAUCUUGGUGUGUCGAAGGUCAUAUGGUUACCCAAAGGGCUUUUCGGGGAUGAAGUGAUCAGUGGGCAUGUUGACAACAUAUGCUGCUUUGCGGGACCAUCCACUGUCCUCUUAUCAUGGAUCGAUGACAAAUCUGAUCCUCAGCAUGAACAUUCAGCUGCCGCAUUCGAUGUUCUGUCCAAUACCACUGAUGCCAAGGGCCGGAAGUUAGAUAUUAUCAAGAUUCAUGUCCCUGGGCCACUGUACAUGACUGAAGAAGAAGCACAACCAUUUCUAGGCUUGGUGGCAUUAGGGCAGCAGAGGCUAGCUGGGUCGUAUGUGAACUUCUACAUCGCCAAUGGUGGGGUUGUAGCACCAGCCUUUGGUGACAAGUGGGAUGAAGAAGCACGCAAAGUUUUGGAGAAAGUGUUUCCCACACACGAGGUGGUGAUGGUGGAAGGGGGGAGGGAGAUUGUCCUCGGAGGAGGAAACAUUCAUUGCGCGACGCAGCAGCAACCUGCCGUUUGCUCCAAUCCCUCUGAUGCAGACACCAUGUAG
rnacentral:rRNA from 1 species